rnacentral:misc_RNA from 1 species
AAGUCGUAACAAGGUUUCCGUAGGUGAACCUGCGGAAGGAUCAUUAUCACGUAUCCAAACGUAUAAACCCAAUGUGCACCUAUAAAAUUCCUCCGCUGGAAAUGAAGUGGCAGAGAAGUUGAUAUUCUGAUUCAUGGUCUUUCAGAAUUCUCUGUCUUGAUCUAAAACUUUAUUGUUUUAGUUCAGCCUUCUACUCCGGGAGUCGUAUCAAACCAUGCUUGUUUUACUAAACAACUUGUACCUUUCUGAACUAACUUUGGUUGGAAAAAGCUUAUCCUUCGGGAUUCGUUUUGAUAACCUUGAUUUAUAUAAACUCUGAACUACUCUUAACAACGGAUAUCUUGGUUCUC